rnacentral:rRNA from 1 species
AACGAACGCUGGCGGCAGGCCUAACACAUGCAAGUCGAACGCCCUAGCAAUAGGGAGUGGCAGACGGGUGAGUAACACGUGGGAACCUUCCCUAUAGUACGGAAUAGCUCAGGGAAACUUGAAGUAAUACCGUAUACGCCCGAGAGGGGAAAGAUUCAUCGCUAUAGGAUGGGCCCGCGUCGGAUUAGCUAGUUGGUGAGGUAAUGGCUCACCAAGGCGACGAUCCGUAGCUGGUUUGAGAGAACGACCAGCCACACUGGGACUGAGACACGGCCCAGACUCCUACGGGAGGCAGCAGUGGGGAAUAUUGGACAAUGGGCGCAAGCCUGAUCCAGCCAUGCCGCGUGAGUGAUGAAGGCCUUAGGGUUGUAAAGCUCUUUUAGCAGGGAAGAUAAUGACUGUACCUGCAGAAUAAGCUACCGGCUAACUUCGUGCCAGCAGCCGCGGU